CGCGGCCUAUCAGCUUGUUGGGGGGGUAAUGGCUCACCAAGGCGACGACGGGUAGCUGGUCUGAGAGGAUGGCCAGCCACAUUGGGACUGAGAGACGGCCCAGACUCCUACGGGAGGCAGCAGUGGGGAAUCUUGCGCAAUGGCCGAAAGGCUGACGCAGCGACGCCGCGUGGGGGAGGAAGGCCUUCGGGUUGUAAACCCCUGUUGCCCGGGACGAAUGUGCACUUUAGAGUGCAUUGACGGUACCGGGUGAGGAAGCACCGGCUAACUCCGUGCCAGCAGCCGCGGUAAUACGGAGGGUGCAAGCGUUGUCCGGAAUCACUGGGCGUAAAGGGCGCGUAGGCGGCUCAUAAAGGCUGUGGUGAAAGUUCGGGGCUCAACCUCGAAUCGGCCGUGGCGACUUGUGGGCUGGAGCACUGUAGAGGCAGGUGGAAUUCCGGGUGUAGCGGUGGAAUGCGUAGAGAUCCGGAAGAACACCAGUGGCGAAGGCGGCCUGCUGGGCAGUGGCUGACGCUGAGGCGCGACAGCGUGGGGAGCAAACAGGAUUAGAUACCCUGGUAGUCCACGCCGUAAACGAUGGGCACUAGGUGCUUGGGGGAGCGACCCUCUGAGUGCCGGCGCUAACGCAUUAAGUGCCCCGCCUGGGGAGUACGG
rnacentral:rRNA from 1 species